AGCCACGCAAUGCACACAAAGCGAACUAUUCUUUCGCCUUUUACUAAAGAAUACCGUGUGUGCGUUGCAAAUAGUGGCAUACGCCAAUUUUUGGAGGGUUUCUCUUCAUUGAGGAU
rnacentral:snRNA from 1 species